ensembl:lncRNA
GAGUUAGAUCUGCUGGUUGAUAAUCGGCGUCUUCUCUGGUCUUCGAGGGAGGAGGCUCCGCGUUCCCUGUUUUGAGGCCCUAGGUGUAAAGAAGCUGGUUGUUACGAAAUUCUUUGCUGGCCAAAUCUCUUGCUGGCCAAUGAUCAACUCUUUCCAAGCUGAGUUUUCUUUACUGUUAUACAGGACUAUCAUGAAGAUGCAUUGAAAGUUACACACACUGGAGGAGUGUGAUAUCCCUUUCAGUUGGUAAUCUUCCUGUCGUGAAAGUUGCUUGCCAGCUUUACUUUUGAAUGAACACAGUAAACACCAAGCUCUUCUCAGGAUUGAGAUAUGGAAAGAUCCUUCUGUCCUUUACCACACAGUUCCUUUGUCAGGAAUUCCAGGAUUUCCUCCAAGUUUGCAAAGGUAAGAAGAAGAGGUUCCAGGGAAGAAAACUGAGAACUGAUUGAGAAGUAUGAAGAGGAUGGAGUGCAGAAGAUGGGGAGAAGCAUGUUCAGUCGAGUGUGAUAAUCCCUAUUGCCCAAAGUGUCAGGAGUUGAGUCGGAGUAACUGAAGCUGACAAGUCUGUUGAUGAUAGGUAAUCUGGAGGAGGAAAGCAGUAUCAAGAUACAAGUCUGAGAAAACUCAGGUCUCAAGAAAUUGUGCCAUCAAAGGGAGAAGAGAACUGUGGCAGCAAGUAAAAUCUUUUAUGAAGAUUGAUGGUGAAGGCUAAUUGAAAAUGCCAGUGUUGGAACCCCACCCCCCUCCUCCUUCCCAUUCAUCCUGAGCCCAAGAGAUCUCCAUAAAAUUGACCUGGAUGCCUUUCAUUCAAGGUUUGUGGGAGUCUGAAGCCCGUCUCAAGAUUUCUCCACUACACUGAGCCAGGAAGAAAAACCGAGCUCCCUGUCUGAUGUCCAGUAAAAGCCAAUUUACAGAAAAUAUUCAUGAAUCUAAGAGAUGUUAGUGACGAUUUGGGGAAAGGAUAAAGGAUAGAGUUUAUACACCAGCAGUGUAAACAAGCACAAGUGAAUUGGCCUCCCAGGUCUCAAAAUGCCCUUCAGCUGUGCAACAUCUUGGAGUUUCACUGAAUUCUUUUGUUUCAGCCCUUCAUCUGGUUGGCUCCUCUUUUACCCUUCUAGGCCUUGGAACUUCAAUUUCUUUUCCUUUUCUCCUCUCCCCCUCUCUCCAUCUCCUUCCUAUUUCCCUGUUUCCUCUCCCUGCCUCUGCCUCUCCUCUUCCCUUUUCUUUCUCCUGGUCUUGCACCCCCAAAACCCACUAAGAUUGCCUACAGUAAAGGGCUCUUCCCUCUGUGUGAUCCCCACUUCCUUAAAGGCAUUAGCAGCAGUUUAUUACCUUGAAACAGAAGGCAGACCAAUUUUUCAGUUUUCAGUGUAAUAAAAAUACUUGAAAUACAUGCCCUGCAGAUAUUAAAAAGAAUCCCCAAGGCUGUGAUUUUGGUUUUCAGCUGGUGUUUGCAGGUUUUUCUUUAGUAGGGUAAUGUUAAGUGAGCUUGUUAGGGUCCUCUGCACCUCUCUGCAUCUUC